rnacentral:tRNA from 3 species
AAGAUAAGCCGAGGGCAAAUUUAGACUUCUAAUCUUAAUUAUAAAGGUUCAACUCCUUUUUUAUCUUU